rnacentral:rRNA from 1 species
CAGCCGCCGCGGGAACACGUAGGGUGCAAGCGUUAAUCGGAAUUACUGGGCGUAAAGCGUGCGCAGGCGGUUAUAUAAGACAGAUGUGAAAUCCCCGGGCUCAACCUGGGAACUGCAUUUGUGACUGUAUAGCUAGAGUACGGCAGAGGGGGAUGGAAUUCCGCGUGUAGCAGUGAAAUGCGUAGAUAUGCGGAGGAACACCGAUGGCGAAGGCAAUCCCCUGGGCCUGUACUGACGCUCAUGCACGAAAGCGUGGGGAGCAAACAGGAUUAGAUACCCCAGUAGUCCCUGUCUCUUAUAA